ACCGACACAGGUGGGCGAGGAGAGAAUCCUAAGGCGCUUGAGAUAACUCUGGUUAAGGAACUUAGCAAAAUCACACCGUAACUUCGGGAGAAGGUGUGCUCGGGUUAGUGUAAGGACUUGCUCCUGAAGCUGACUUGAGUCGCAGUGAAGAGGGGGUGGCGACUGUUUACUAAAAACACAGGACUCUGCAAACUCGUAAGAGAAAGUAUAGGGUCUGACGCCUGCCCGGUGCUGGAAGGUUAAGGGGAGAUGUCAUUCUGAGUUCAUCGGAAGAAGCAUUGAACCGAAGCCCCAGUAAACGGCGGCCGUAACUAUAAAACGGACCAACUGUAGUUACGUAAAUAAAUCUGGCUAUAUGCUGGGAAAUCCUGUUAAGCUGAUGGUACUUCUGCCUCGAAAGGCUGAAUGUAACAAUCCAUCAGAUAGGGACAAUCAGCAGGAAAGUUCCGAAGGAGGAAAGAUGAAGCCUGAAAUAGGUUUCUACUUAGCAGGUUUUGCCGAUGGAGAAGGAAGCUUUAGUGUUUCUUUCAGACCAAGGCAAGACUAUAAACAACCGUGGAAAAUAUCCAUGUGUUUCAAUGUAUCCCAGAAAGAAAAAGAAAUACUUGCCCUUUUUAAACACCAUCUUGGAUGUGGGACUUUAAGGGCAAGGCCAGAUGGUAUCUGGUAUUAUGAGGUGAACAACUUUAAUGCAAUAUGGGAAAAGGUAAUACCUUUUUUUAAAAGAUAUAGAUUUCUCUCUGCAACUAAAAAGAACGACUUCUCAAAAUUCUGUCAGAUUGCAGAGAUAAUAAAAAAAGGUGAACAUCUCACAGAAGAAGGUAUAAAAAGGAUACUAAAGAUAAGAAAAGAUAUGAACCACGGUGGAAAAAGAAAAUACACAGAUGACGAAAUCCUCAAAAAACUUCGGAAAUCCUCAGAGACUAUACGCCAGACUCCGUCAGGAACGGAGAUGAUAUAGUCCGAUCUCUAUGGCAACAUAGAGAGCCGAACGGAAACGAUUCGGCCACUCGCAAAAGAUAAUUGCGGGCAGUAACAGAAAUGAACGGUCCUAAGGUAGCGAAAUUCCUUGUCGGGUAAGUUCCGACCUGCAUGAAUGGCGUAACGAUUGCCCCACUGUCUCAACCAGGGACUCAGCGAAAUUAUAUUGGGGGUGAAGAUACCCUCACCCCGCGGCAAGACGGAAAGACCCCGUGAACCUUUACUAUAACUUGACAGUGAACUUCGGGAUAGUAUGUGUAGGAUAGGUGGGAGGCUAUGAAGUGCUGGCGCCAGCUGGCAUGGAGCCGUCCUUGAAAUACCACCCUUAUUGUUUUGGAGUUCUAACUCAGGUCCCUUAACGGGAUCGAGGACACUGUCUGGUGGGUAGUUUGACUGGGGCGGUCGCCUCCAAAAGAGUAACGGAGGCGCACUAAGGUCGGCUCAGGCUGAUUGGAAACCAGCCGUAGAGUGCAAAGGCAUAAGCCGGCUUGACUGUGAGACCUACAAGUCGAGCAGGAACGAAAGUUGGUCUUAGUGAUCCGGUGGUUCCGCAUGGAAGGGCCAUCGCUCAACGGAUAAAAGGUACUCCGGGGAUAACAGGCUUAUCUCCCCCAAGAGUUCAUAUCGACGGGGAGGUUUGGCACCUCGAUGUCGGCUCAUCGCAUCCUGGGGCUGAAGUAGGUCCCAAGGGUUUGGCUGUUCGCCAAUUAAAGCGGUACGUGAGCUGGGUUUAGAACGUCGUGAGACAGUUCGGUCCCUAUCUGCCGUGGGCGCAGGAUAAUUGAGAGGGUCUGUCCCUAGUACGAGAGGACCGGGAUGGACGGACCUCUAGUGCACCAGUUGUCACGCCAGUGGCAUGGCUGGGUAGCUAUGUCCGGAAGGGAUAACCACUGAAAGCAUCUAAGUGGGAAGCCUGCCUCAAGAAUAGUUAUCCCGUCCCGUCGCAAGACGGGGCUAAGACCCCACGUAGACCACGUGGUUGAUAGGCUGAUGGUGUAAGCGUAGUGAUACGUUGAGCCUAACAGUACUAAUAGGUCGAGCGCUUGACCA
rnacentral:rRNA from 1 species